rnacentral:rRNA from 1 species
UAGUCGAGCGAGAAAGGGGAGCAAUCCCUGAGUACAGCGGCGUACGGGUGAGUAACACGUGGAUCAUCUACCUUCUAGUGGGGAAUAACUCUGGGAAACCGGAGCUAAUACCGCAUAAGCCUGUAAAGGGAAAGCAGCAAUGCGCUGGAAGAUGAGUCCGCGGCCGAUUAGCUAGUUGGUGAGGUAACGGCUCACCAAGGCGGUGAUCGGUAGCCGGCCUGAGAGGGCACACGGCCACACUGGCACUGAAACACGGGCCAGACUCCUACGGGAGGCAGCAGUGGGGAAUCUUGCACAAUGGAGGCAACUCUGAUGCAGCGACGCCGCGUGAGCGAUGAAGCCCCUCGGGGUGUAAAGCUCUUUCGGCAGGGACGAUUAUGACGGUACCUGAAGAAGAAGCUGCGGCUAACUACGUGCCAGCAGCCGCGGU